rnacentral:rRNA from 1 species
CCUACGGGGGGCUGCAGUGAGGAAUAUUGGUCAAUGGGCGGGAGCCUGAACCAGCCAAGUCGCGUGAGGGAAGACGGUCCUAUGGAUUGUAAACCUCUUUAGGCGGGGAGCAAUGCCGGGCACGUGUGCCCGGAGGGAGAGUACCCGCAGAAUAAGCAUCGGCUAACUCCGUGCCAGCAGCCGCGGUAAUACGGAGGAUGCGAGCGUUAUCCGGAUUUAUUGGGUUUAAAGGGUGCGUAGGCGGAAUGCCAAGUCAGCGGUAAAAUCGCGGGGCUCAACCUCGCUCCGCCGUUGAAACUGGCGUUCUUGAGUGGGCGAGAAGUAUGCGGAAUGCGUGGUGUAGCGGUGAAAUGCAUAGAUAUCACGAAGAACUCCGAUUGCGAAGGCAGCUUACUAAACUGCCACUGACAUUGAUGCUCGAAAGUGUGGGUAUCAAACAGGAUUAGAUACCCGAGUAGUC